AUGUAAGUGUGCUUGAGUAAUAAUUCCAAAUCAUCCAUUCAGCACUAAUUGUAACCCGCAAUAUUGCGCACUGCUAACACUGAGGAAUUCUCUUUGUGGGCUGCUAUUUUAGACACUGGUAAAAUGAAUUUAUUUAUUUAUUUUUGUUUAACUCAAACAUAUCCACUGAGAUGUUUACUGGGAAAGAGAAGGAAGUUAAAAAUAUAAAAACGGCUGCGAACCUUUAACACUUUGCCAUCUACUCCAAGAGGAAAAAAAGCUCUUCAGGACUGGAGAAGCAGGGAGGGGAUGAAGGGGACAACAGAGCUGCUUGCCAGCUUGAGACAUGAAGAGGGGAAAGUCUAAAUGAGUCCUUGCACUGAGGAGGCCUUGGGUCCCAUGGGUCUAUGGCAGACAGAAGAGGACACAAUGAGGCAGAUGCAGUGCCCUUGGUGCUUUUUGUAUGCUUGGCCUCCAGAGGCUCUUGUUUGCAAACAACAUCUGUCUUUUGCACUAUUCCAGCACUUCCUUCUGCCAGCCAGGAUCCACUUCUGAGGCUUCCCUGUGACAUCUGCUUCCACCUGGCUUCAGCUGCCAUGAGCAAGUGCCCAGAAGAAGAGGACAACAGCAUGAGGUGUUACCAGGACAGCUAGAAGAAUACAGGCUGUAAGUGCUCAGAACUGCAUGCUUUCCAGGUAAUCUGAUUUCCCAUACAACAUGUUCCUGGGGAAGGCAUUGACUCCAGCUGCUUCUUGAGGAACUCCACUCGCUCCUCCUGCUGAAGAGACCUCAGCUCUGCAUGGGUUGCAGAGGCUUUUUCCCUGUGUGCCCUGUUUGGUUCUAGUUCCCCUACUGGGCUGAUCACUCCCAGGUGAAGCCAGCCCUACAUGUGUUGCAAAUAUUUUCUCUCAAAAUGACUUCAGCAGCAGCUCUAGUGUGAUGCUCAGAGCAUUUCCUGACAAGAAAGGACAUUGUAUAAGACCCUGGCUAUGACAAUGCCUUCCACAAAAGGAGGGAAGGAAGGUAAAUAUAGAAAAUUGAGGAGAUAUUCUGCAUUGAGAGACACAACAAAAGGAAAACUGACAGGAAAUGACUCCACAAUGGGGCCAAAUUCAGGCCCCUUAGUCCUAAACACUCAUAGGCAACCCCCAUCCUCCAGCAGCUGAACAGGGAGUGCCCAGCACCUCUGGAAACUGGGAAUGCCCUAGACAGAAAUCAUUGAGGCUCUUCCUACUGCAUUUGAGAGGUAUUAACAGACUUAUUCAUAUUCACUGCACUCAGUGUCAGAGAAGAUGUUGAUACAACCCAAGCCCAUUUAUUCCCAUGGUGUCUGGUCUAGGUCAGUCAUCCUUGCAUUCUCUGAAGUCAGUGGAGAGAGAACCAGGACGUGCAUGGGGAUCCAGGGUCAUGUCUCUGCAAAACUGCAUCAGAGCAGAUCCUGCCAUCGUCAUUCCUACAGCAUGCAUCCAUCCUUCAGGCCAGGCUGCCUAUAGCUUGGAGGAGCUAUGGGAUGGUGCGUGAAACGAAAGUCCUGGUGCGGGUGAUUCCAGAAGAUCUCAGCGUGACUGCACCAGAGCAGCAAGGAGACCUUUUGGAUGGGGGGGCAGGUUGCCUUCAAAGCAUCAAAGAUGCCCUUCCAGAGAAGGAAUGUACUCAGAUGUUCUGCCUGCACAAUGCCAUGCCACUUAUGAGAAUGUUUUCAGCAAAUAUCAGCCCAGUUCUUCCCCAGCCUUUGCUGAGGACCUCUUAGCAAGCACAGUUGGGUUCCCCAGAAUGCACUUUCCCCAGGUAUAUUUUGGGUUUGGAAAAAUCCUUAAAGAUGUGUAUGUUCAUAGAACCAUAAAAUCAUUAAGGUUGGAAAAGACUUUUAAGAUCAUCUAGUCAGACUGUGUUCAUAGGGUGUCUAGAGAGGAUCUGUUUUGAUAUAAGCUGCCUGCCCAGGGACUUUUCCACUCAAUGAAGUUUUUCCAGCUGUGUGGAAAACCAGUAAGAGCAGGCAUUUCUCCAGCAUUUUGAGAAGAAUUUGCCCUGUGUUAGCAGCUAGCAUCGCUCCACAAAAGAAACAUAAUGUUGAAAAUUAUUUAAAAAUUCUUUUGUCUAUCAAUCAUUUAGUUUACGUAACUUUGUCACUUUUGAAGGUUUUACACAACACCAGAGCUCAGAAAAGUGACUCUUCAGGGGAAAUGCAGAUCAGUAAUUCAGGUUACUGAUGGAGCUUUUCUUCACAAUAGGCCGAAGAGGAAGAGCCUGGAGGACAACGCUUGUGAUAAGAAUGAAGAUCCUCCUGCUACCAAGAAAAUAUCCAAUUAGAGACAGAAAAUUUCUUGAGACAAAUGAGCUUAGCCUCAAUACUGUGAUUCUCCUUCAUAGAAUCAUAGAAUCACAAGGUUGAAAAGGACCUACAAGAUCAUCUAGUCCAACCAGCCCUUUGGACACCAUACUUGAAUAACAACCAGACUGGAUUUAAAUGACAGCACCACCUUUUUCCUUCUGAAGAACUGUGUAUCAUGUGUUAGGAGAAACAAACUCUGUUGCCCACCUCAGCACAUCCUCCUUCCAAUCUUGCAAAUAAUCCAAUCUAUACUUAAAUACCUUUCAGCCACAUUAAUGGAAAACUAUCAUAAUUGUAACUAAGUAUUUUCUCUCUCAUGGCUUCACUCCCCUGUUGAUUUCUGCUGGAACUCAUCUGGAGAAAUUUUACCUCUCUCAGGAGAAAGAAACUGAUGGAUGAAAGAGGAGAGGGAGACACUGUCUGGUCUGUUCUGCUGCUCAGACAGUUUCACAAGAAAGCCAGCUGCUCCGUGAUCUCAUGUAUCCCCACAUGACAAUAGUGCUCUCAAACCAGCGGUUCUCCAUGGCUGUACACACAGAGAUGAAGCACAACCAUCUUUCCCCAGGGCUAUCCUCAUGGGCUUGCUGGCCAUUCCCUGGGAAGAGAGAACACAGGGCAGGUAUGGCACUGGAUGAAUCAGUCCAUCACCUACCUCCAAAGCUGCAGAGGAAACCUUUUCUUCUGUCCCACUCCCAUGUCUGUUUUACUGAUUCUCCCUAAAGUCCAAAGUGUGGUCUGAGCAUUUCCAUUUUUAGACAGAUUGCGUUUUUAUUAAUUUUACAGUAAAUCACUUCGCUAUUUCCUUUGUUUAUGCUAGGUGGAUUCGGUGAUUUCCACGUCUGUGUGAUGCAUUACUUGGCACAUGAGCACAACACAUACCAUCACUUCAUCGUACCCAUCACUGACAUCCCAGCUCUAGGACAAGAAUAUGUAAAAUCCAUCUCCAUGCUGUCACUUCCCUUCUCCCUCUCUUCAAAGGUACCUCUGGAAUCUGCCGCCUUGAAUUCCACCAUCCCAGCCUCCUUCAAGUAGGAGCAUCCAAAAUGCCGAUGCAGCACAGCUUAGACUUGGCCCCAUUGAACCUGCCUCUCCACAUCUCAUCUCCUUCUAAAAUUGUGUAUCUAGCACUUUGUUUGGGGGAGAAUGGCAGCCUCAAAGGGGGAGGAAAGCUCCUGUGUUGUCAGCCCAGGGAAAUACAGACUCCUCUCCCUGACUUCCCCUAUACCUAAGCAUUGGGCCUCUUCUGAGAGCAAACA